rnacentral:rRNA from 1 species
GAUGGGCGGCAGCUACACAUGCAGUCGAGCGGGGUUUUCGGACCUAGCGGCGGACGGGUGAGUAAUGCGUAGGAAGCUGCCCGAUAGAGGGGGAUACCAGUUGGAAACGACUGUUAAUACCGCAUAAUGUCUACGGACCAAAGUGUGGGACCUUCGGGCCACAUGCUAUCGGAUGCGCCUACGUGGGAUUAGCUAGUUGGUGAGGUAAUGGCUCACCAAGGCGACGAUCUCUAGCUGGUUUGAGAGGAUGAUCAGCCACACUGGAACUGAGACACGGUCCAGACUCCUACGGGAGGCAGCAGUGGGGAAUAUUGGACAAUGGGCGCAAGCCUGAUCCAGCCAUGCCGCGUGUGUGAAGAAGGCCUUCGGGUUGUAAAGCACUUUCAGCGAGGAGGAAGGGGUAGUCGUUAAUAGCGGCUAAUUUUGACGUUACUCGCAGAAGAAGCACCGGCUAACUCUGUGCCAGCAGCCGCGGUAAUACAGAGGGUGCAAGCGUUAAUCGGAAUUACUGGGCGUAAAGCGCACGUAGGCGGUUGGUUAAGUUGGGAUGGGGAGAAGCCCCGGGCUCAACCUGGGAAUUGCAUUCAGAGACUGGCCAACUAGAAGACCGCAGAGGGUGUAAAAAUUCCAAGUGUAGCGGUGAAAUGCGUAGAAGAUUUGGAGGAAUACCAGUGGGCGAAGGCGGGCCCCCUGGCGCCGAUAUUGACGCUGAGGUGCGAAAGCGUGGGGAGCAAAACAGGAUUAGAUACCCUGGGUAGGUCCCACGCCCGUAACGAUGUCUACUAGCCUGUUCGUGGGUCUUGUACUGUGAGUAGCGCAGCUACGCACCUAAGUAACCCGGCUGGGGAGUACCGGUCGCUAGAAUAGACUCCACAUGGAGAUGGACCGGGGCCCGCCACAAGCGUGAGCCAUGUGGCUAAUCGACGCACCGCGAGACCUUACUACUCUGACGUCUACGAGUGGCCAAAUGCUGAUGUGCCUCAGAGCGUAACGUCUGCAUGCGUCUCAGCUAGUAUGACAGAUGCCUAAUCUGCACAGACGCAUAUCCGAU